ACUCAUGCACUGUAGAUGAGCUAUUUAUCCAUUUGCUCCUCCAAUUGUAGCUUGACGCGUACGAUGAUUUGUUGCUCCUCUGGUAUUCCGGCCGAUCCAUUGUUUUUUUGCUUUCCUUUUUUUUCUCAACAUAGGUUACCGGCUACCGGUUUGAUGGCUUAUUUCUUUCCGGUAACUGCAUUCACGGUUGAGAUCUAGGUUUUACAGCGGUGGAGUUUCCAUAAUUUAAUCCCUUGAAAACGUGUCUCUUUAUCAGCGGUGGUAGAGUCUACGUGUCCCUUUUCUAUUUCCUUGCCGCUGAUUGGGGACUUAUCUGAUCUCCCCAUCUCUCCCCGACCGCACCGCCUCUCAUCUCUCUUGCGAGGAAAAGGGGCGCCCAUGACGCAGAAGCCCGGCGGCCGGGAGCAGCGGAGAGGUGGAGGAUCUCAGACUGGAGCUGGAGGGGCUGGGACGGAAGGUAGCCGAGGGGAGCUGGUGCGGAUGAGCAAGGUAGACGGCAGCCGCGUCAUUGGGAGAGGAUGCUGCCACCGAGGCUGCUGUGACGGGCGCACCGGUGGACCUGCACGGGUCUCCCUCCGGACAGGUCGUCGUUUGUGUUCCCUUCGGUGUUUUUGGCGGGAGGAGUGCCGCCGGUGCUGGGACGGGGAGCGGCACUGGGAUGGAGGAGGCUCUGCGCUUCCAUCAACCCUACCUCCCAAUCCUCCAUCUGCUUCCCCGUAGCUGCCAAACAGGGCCACACGCUAGAUCUGAUCAACCAUGCCACUGGGGGAAGGAGUAAAUAUGGCUAUUUAUUAAUUGAGAAGUUGCAAGUGUAAGUCCUUUGUUUAAUUUUAAAUAAGGUUAUUCAGCGGAAAUACUUUUGUACACCCACGCAUGGGUGUGGAUGUUUCCAUCACCCUUCAUUUAUUCCUCGAGAUUCGUGCCCACCAUGGUAGAAGAAACAAGUUUAUUAUCCGACAGAUAAUUUCUUAUAAGUACGCGCACAUGGAUUUAACAAGCAUGCCAUAAUUCUUCCAGUUCUCCUGAACACAAAUCCUUCUUUCAAGCCACAAGGUUAGAAUUGGCUUGGUACUCUUGACUGUCUAUUCGAUUCUAGCAGAAGAAGCAUGUAGGCCUACUAGCAUUGCUGGGGUAUCCUAUAAUUGUUGUAUUGUUACUCCUUACACAGCUUCUCAGAGGGCUGCUGCAAAUUGUCCGUGGCGGGGCGGUGGAUGGGCAUGCUGCUUUUGUUCGAGCAGGUGUUGUGUGGAAUGUUCAACUGGCUCUGUCUGCAGCUUUUGUUAGGCUUUUAAAGUGUAAGGAACUUCUUUGUUGUUUUCUUCUCCGACCAUGCCAAGAACAACACUGACCCAGGACAGGUCUUCUCUGCCGAAACUGUCCCUGCCGCUCCCAUGCCAACAAUGGAGACGAUCAUCAUGCUCUCAUCCCUCGAGGAAGAGGACAAUGCGGCGUACUAACGAGCUUCAGGUCGACCGCGCCUACAGAACAGAACAGCUAAUUUUAGGCACCUACAGCAUCGCCACUCUGAAUCUUUCUUUCGGUUCCCCUCCGCAUAGUUAUCUGUCAGGCCCCCACUACGUAAUCAUGUACAGGUGUCAAAGAGCACCAAGCAAUUAUCCAUGGACCAGCUCACCCUAUCAAUGAUCCACUUUUGUUUGCCUGUGAAGUCUGUAUUUUGCUGAUAUAGUUAAGCAUCUGAUGGCAUCAUGCCAAGAACACUCAUAUAUGCAAAUUACCCAUCGCAAA